rnacentral:rRNA from 1 species
AACGAACGCUGGCGGCGUGCCUAAUACAUGCAAGUCGAGCGAAUGGAUUGAGAGCUUGCUCUUAUGAAGUUAGCGGCGGACGGGUGAGUAACACGUGGGUAACCUGCCCAUAAGACUGGGAUAACUCCGGGAAACCGGGGCUAAUACCGGAUAACAUUUUGAACCGCAUGGUUCGAAAUUGAAAGGCGGCUUCGGCUGUCACUUAUGGAUGGACCCGCGUCGCAUUAGCUAGUUGGUGAGGUAACGGCUCACCAAGGCAACGAUGCGUAGCCGGCCUGGGAGGGUGAUCGGGCACACUGGGACUGAGACACGGCCCAGACUCCUACGGGAGGCAGCAGUAGGGAAUCUUCCGCAAUGGACGAAAGUCUGACGGAGCAACGCCGCGUGAGUGAUGAAGGCUUUCGGGUCGUAAAACUCUGUUGUUAGGGAAGAACAAGUGCUAGUUGAAUAAGCUGGCACCUUGACGGUACCUAACCAGAAAGCCACGGCUAACUACGUGCCAGCCGCCGCGGUAA